AUUGAACGCUGGCGGCGGGCCUAACACAUGCAAGUCGAACGAGUGGCGGAGGGGUGAGUCAUGUCUAGGAACCUGCCUGAUGGCGGGGGAUAACUACUGGAAACGGUAGCUAAUACGGCAUAGCCUCGGCUGAGCCCUGAAUGGAUUAGCUAGUAGCUGGGGUAAAGGCUCACCUAGGCGACGAUCCCUAGCUGGUCUGAGAGGAUGACCAGCCACACUGGAACUGAGACACGGUCCAGACUCCUACGGGAGGCAGCAGUGGGGAAUAUUGCACAAUGGGCGCAAGCCUGAUGCAGCAAUGCCGCGUGUAUGAAGAAGGUCUUCGGGUUGUAAAGCACUGUCAGCGGGGAGGCGUUACCCGCAGAAGAAGCACCGGCUAACUCCGUGCCAGCAGCCGCGGUAAUAC
rnacentral:rRNA from 1 species